rnacentral:tRNA from 1 species
GGAUCCGUAGCUCAGCCGGUCAGAGCGUUCGGUUUACAUCCGAAAGGUCAGAGGUUCGAUCCCUCUCGGAUCCA